AGUGGAUUUGCUGGGUCAUAUGAUAAAUUUAUGUUUAACUUUAUAAGAAAUUACUAAACCAUUUUCCAAAGUGGAUGGACCAUUUUACAUUCCCACUAUGAUU
rnacentral:pre_miRNA from 1 species